GAUGAACGCUAGCGAUAGGCUUAACACAUGCAAGUCGAGGGGCAGCACAAGGUAGCUUGCUAUCUGGGUGGCGACCGGCGCACGGGUGCGUAACGCGUAUGCAACUUGCCCUAUACAGGAGGAUAACCCGUCGAAAGACGGACUAAUACUGCGUAUGCUCACAACUUGGCAUCAAGUGGUGAGGAAAGAAAUUCGGUAUAGGAUAGGCAUGCGUCCCAUUAGCUUGUUGGUGAGGUAACGGCUCACCAAGGCAACGAUGGGUAGGGGAACUGAGAGGUUUAUCCCCCACACUGGUACUGAGGCACGGACCAGACUCCUACGGGAGGCAGCAGUGAGGAAUAUUGGUCAAUGGGCGCGAGCCUGAACCAGCCAAGUCGCGUGAAGGAUGACUGUCUUAUGGAUUGUAAACUUCUUUUAUACGGGAAUAACAAGAGUCACGUGUGACUCCCUGCAUGUACCGUAUGAAUAAGCAUCAGCUAACUCCGUG
rnacentral:rRNA from 1 species